rnacentral:rRNA from 1 species
UCCUACGGGAGGCAGCAGUGGGGAAUAUUGGGCAAUGGGCGCAAGCCUGACCCAGCAACGCCGCGUGAGGGAAGAAGGUCUUCGGAUUGUAAACCUCUGUCCUUGGGGACGAAAAAAAUGACGGUACCCAAGGAGGAAGCUCCGGCUAACUACGUGCCAGCAGCCGCGGUAAUACGUAGGGAGCGAGCGUUGUCCGGAAUUACUGGGCGUAAAGGGUGCGUAGGCGGCAAUGCAAGUCAGAUGUGAAAUCCCCGGGCUCAACUCGGGUUCUGCAUUUGAAACUGCGUUGCUUGAGUGCAGGAGAGGAAAGCGGAAUUCCUAGUGUAGCGGUGAAAUGCGUAGAUAUUAGGAAGAACACCAGUGGCGAAGGCGGCUUUCUGGACUGUAACUGACGCUGAGGCACGAAAGCGUGGGGAGCAAACAGGAUUAGAUACCCUGGUAGA